GAUGAACGCUGGCGGCGUGCCUAAUACAUGCAAGUCGAGCGAACAGAUGAGGAGCUUGCUCCUCUGACGUUAGCGGCGGACGGGUGAGUAACACGUGGAUAACCUACCUAUAAGACUGGUAUAACUUCGGGAAACCGGAGCUAAUACCGUAUGAUAUAUUGAACCGCAUGGUUCAAUAGUGAAAGACGGUUUUGCUGUCACUUAUAGAUGGAUCCGCGCCUCAUGAGCUAGUUGGUAAGGUAAAGGCUUACCAAGGCAACGAUGCGUAGCCGACCUGAGGGGGUGAUCGCCCACACUGGAGCUGAGACACGGUCCAGACUCCUACGGGAGGCAGCAGUAGGGAAUCUUCCGCAAAGGGCGAAAGCCUGACGGAGCAACGCCGCGUGAGUGAUGAAGGUCUUCGGAUCGUAAAACUCUGUUAUUAGGGAAGAACAAAUGUGUAAGUAACUAUGCACGUCUUGACGGUACCUAAUCAGAAAGCCCCGGCUAACUACGUG
rnacentral:rRNA from 1 species